UACGGGGGGUGCAAACGUUGCUCGGAAUCAUUGGGCGUAAAGCGCACGUAGGCGGUCUGUUAUGUCGGAUGUGAAAGCCCUUGGCUCAACUGAGGAAGUGCAUCCGAAACUGGCAGGCUAGAGUACUAAAGAGGAUCGCGGAAUUCCCGGUGUAGAGGUGAAAUUCGUAGAUAUCGGGAGGAACACCGGUGGCGAAGGCGGGUCUCUGGGCCGAUACUGACGCUGAGGAGCGAAAGCGUGGGGAGCGAACAGG
rnacentral:rRNA from 1 species